CCCUUAGAUGUUCGGGGCCGCACGCGCGCUACACUGAAGGAAUCAGCACGUCUUUCUCCUUGUCCGAAAGGACUGGGUAACCCGCUGAACCUCCUUCGUGCUAGGGAUUGGGGCUUGUAAUUCUUCCCCAUGAACGAGGAAUUCCCAGUAAGCGCGAGUCAUAAGCUCGCGUUGAUUACGUCCCUGCCCUUUGUACACACCGCCCGUCGCUCCUACCGAUUGGAUGAUCCGGUGAGCUAUUCGGACUUUCGCAUUGUCGAUUUUCGGCUUUACGAGGGAAAGUCUCGCGAACCUUAUCAUCUAGAGGAAGGAGAAGUCGUAACA
rnacentral:rRNA from 1 species